rnacentral:rRNA from 1 species
UACGAAGGGGGCUAGCGUUGCUCGGAAUCACUGGGCGUAAAGGGUGCGUAGGCGGGUCUUUAAGUCAGAGGUGAAAUCCUGGAGCUCAACUCCAGAACUGCCUUUGAUACUGAAGAUCUUGAGUUCGGGAGAGGUGAGUGGAACUGCGAGUGUAGAGGUGAAAAUUCGUAGAUAUUAGGAAGAACACCAGUGGCGAAGGCGGCUCACUGGUCCGGUACUGACGCUGAGGUGCGAAAGCGUGGGGAGCAACAGG